rnacentral:rRNA from 1 species
GGUGAACGCUGGCGGCGUGCUUAAGACAUGCAAGUCGAACGGCAGUCUUCGGACUGUAGUGGCGCACGGGUGAGUAACGCGUAACUGACCUACCCCACAGUCGCGGAUAACGAUUCGAAAGAAUCGCCAAUACGUGAUGUCAUGUCAGAUUGUGUUCUGCCAGUAAGGAGUGAUUGCUUGGGGGUGGGGUUGCGUUCCAUCAGCUAGUUGGUGGGGUAAAGCGCCACCAAGGCGGCGACCGAUAGCCGGCCCGAGAGGGUGGCCGGCCACAGGGGCACUGAGACACGGGUCCCACUCCUACGGGAGGCAGCAGUUAGGAAUCUUCCACAAUGGGCGAAAGCCUGAUGGAGCGACGCCGCGUGAGGGAUGAAGGUCUUCGGAUCGUAAACCUCUGAAUCAGGGACGAAAGACACUUCGGGGGGAUGACGGUACCUGAGUAAUAGCACCGGCUAACUCCGUGCCAGCCGCCGCCGUAAAAC